GUCUAUGUAUUAGACCCACUGCCAUGUAACCGCGAUCUAGAGAUUAAGGCCCCAUUGAGUGUGGCAUUUCGGUCGGCAACAAAUUUGAAAGGACAAAGAGCUAAAAAUUUGUUAAAAUGGAGGGAAAUUAAGUGUCCUACACAACCCGGUAGUGUGGAGUGCGGAUAUUAUGUCUUGCGA